UAGAACUGUGCUUACCAAAACAUCACUAGAGUCUUUUUGUCAGUUCAUGUCAGUGUAUGUGUUCUUCAACAUCACAGUGCUUGCCCUGAUGAGUUUUUCACUCUAUUUUUUACAAUGCUUUCUUUAUUCAAGCUUCGUUGUCAAUCAUAUCAAUUAUUUUCACAUUAUAUAUUUCUAACUAGUUCCAUCUUUUACUGUUCUUUUUAGUCUCAUGGCUUAAGAAAAAGGGUUGUAUUUAGUUCACACACUUGUCUACUACAGCCAACUGCAGUAUGCUGUAAAAGUUAACUAGUCAUCAGUUUACUAUAAUUUGACCAUAUUUGGACCAAAAUCAUGUUUCCUAAGCUCCUAAUUACUUCUUUCAUUCUUAAGUCUAUUUUAUGUUAGUCACUUAAAUAUUUUAUAUAGGCUUCAAUUAAUCUCCAUAAAAUAUGUGGUCUUAAUUACCUUUCUAUGGCUGUAAUAAAACACCAGGAUCCAGUUAACAUACAAAAGAAAGUUUAUUUGGUCUUACUCUUUCAAAUGUUAGAUUCUAUGACCCCAAUACUUGGUAUCAUGGCAACUGGUAGGUAGUCAUGGCACAGGGCAAUAGUUAAGUGCUUACAUGUUAUUUUACAGCACAAGGCAGAGAGGAGGGGGCAGUAACUGGGAAUGGUGUGGAAAUUUGAAACCUCAAAUCCCAGCCCAGAGGCACACCUCCUCCAAUGGAGUGAUAACCACCUAAUCUUUCCGAAACAGUUCUUUCAAAUAGGAAGCAAACAUUGAAAUACAUGAGCUUAUGGGAGCAUUCACAUUCAUCACCACAUUUCUUUUGUAUUUCUUCCUAUUAUUGUAACAUAAUCAGAAAUAACAUUGAUUUUUGCAGUUGUUGAAAAAGAUUCAAGAUGAAGUAUUUCUGUCACCAAAUGAAAAAAAUAACCUGCUUGUGCAAAGUUCUUUCUGUAUCUUUAGGACCCUGUAGUCCUUUCCAACAGAAGAAUGAUGCUUGGCUCUUCUUUGUCCCUUCUUUUGGGAGGUCCUGCCUUUCAUUAUAAAAUUAAUAAAUUAAUAAUCCCAAUAUCCUUCCCCUCAAUCUGACGGUUCUUUUUUCUGGGCUAUCUAACAUUUUCCUCUUUUUUUACACAAUUCUUAGGUUAUAGUUUUUAAUCUUUUAAUUAGCUUAUGUCACAUUAGAUAAUUACAAUACAAUACAAUUAAAAUACAAGGUUGCAUAAGCAAGCCCGAAUUUUUGUGUGGGUGCCAUGGAAUGAAAUCAAGUCUGAAUGCUUCUGAUGGAGACAAGUGUUCUCAUUCACUGACACAUGUUUUAAGUCCUUCAUGGUUGUGUCUUCAUUUUAUUUUAUUUUGGUUUUUCGAGACAUGGUUUCUCUGUGUAGCUUUCGAGCCUAUCCUGGCACUCAGUCUGGAGACCAGGCUGGCCUCGAACUCAUAGAGAUCCGCUUGCCUCUGCUGGGCUUAAAGGCAUGUGCCACCAAUGCCCAGCCCAUGGUAGCACUUUCAAACAAAACUAUUCUCAUUCCCUUUCCCCACCUUUGUGACUCCACUUUGUACCCCUUACCCCUUUUGUCUUUAAAGUCACUUGUGUCCCAUUGAAUUUCCCUCAUUGACAACAGUUUACUGCUCUUAGAAUCAAUUUUUUUCUGGGUUCAUCGUCUAUACUCAACAGUCAUCCCUGCCUAUAUACAUUCAUAGAGAUAGUAUAAGGUAGGAUUCAUGUAUAAGAGAGAAUCUGUUUAUUUGUCCUUCAGCAUUCAGUCAUUUAAUGUAAUAUUUUACGUAUCUAUCCAUUUAUCUGUAAAUUUCACUCAUACUUAAAUAAAUUUCUAUUGGUCAUAUGUACCAUAUUUUUAUUACUUAUUCAUCUGGUCUUGGUAGUGAAGGGUAGUUCAAUUAUCUUGCUUGUAGUUAAUGCAACAAUAAACAUGGAUGUGCAGGGUAGGAUUUAAAGUCUUUUGGAUAUAUGCCCAGGAGUGGUAUAGCUGAGAUAGAUAGAAGUUCUACUUUAGUGAUUUGAGAAAUCUACAUAAUUGUUUCCAUACUAUGCUAAUUUAUUGUUUCACCAGUAGUGAAUACGGGGUCAUUUUCUCUGACAUCAUCAUUAAUGUUCAUUGUUUUUUCUUUCAUAUUUUUCAAUUUAUACUUUAUUUCAUGUUCAACCCGAGUUCCCCCUCCUCCUCUUCACUUACUUCCCUGCCUCCAACUCUUCCUAUUUCUCUAUCCUCUCCACAGUGUGGCUAAGGACUCCUUUGGGGAGUGUGCUCCCAAAAGCCAGUUCAUAACCCUGGGAUAGGUCCUGGUGCCAUGGCCUGCCACCCAACAGAAAAAGUCAUAUAAAUGAUACCCAUAGUCAGAGGGUCUGGUUUGAUCCCAUGAAGGUUCUUCAGCUGUCAGUCCUUAGUCCAUGAGCUCCCUCUAGCUUGAACCAGUUGUCUCUGUGGAUUUCCCUAUCAUAUUCUUGACCUGCUUUGUUCAUGUAACCCCUCCUCCAUCUCCUCAACUGAACUCCAGAUGUUCAACCCAGUGCUUGGCUGUGGAACACUGCAUCUGCUUCCAUUAGUUACUGGAUGUAGGUUCUAUGAUGACAUUCAAGGUAGUCACUAAUCUGAUUAAAGGGAAAGACACAUUCCAACAGCCUUUCCACUAUGUCUAGGAGUGUUAGCAGGGUUAAUCCUUGUGGAUUCCUGAGAAUUUCUCAAGCACCAUAAUGACUUCCUCUAUCGAGUUACACCUUCCAUCGAUCUCUCCCUCCAUCCCUACCCAAAAUGUUGUUCUUGAUUUUUCAUGUUCCCAUCCCCCAUCUCCUCCACUCAACUGCCCUUCCAGUUUACCCAGGAGACCAUAAUGAUUUUCCCUUCUUGGUGUUUUCCAUGUGUGUCCAUCUUAUGGUCCCCUUUUCCCUAGCUUCUCUGGGGUUUUGGAUUGGUUAUCCUUUGAUUUACAUCUACUUAUGAGUGAAGACAUACACUGUUUGACUUUCUGGGUCUGGAUUACCUCCUUCAGGAUGGUUAUUUUCUAUUUUAUCUAUCCCUAACUUCAUGAUCUACUAUAGAGAUACAGAAAAAAAAACCAGCUUGGUAUUGGUAUAAAAAUAGACAUAUGGAUCAAUAGAAUCUAAUUAAAGAUGCUGAUAUUAAUCCACAUACCCAUGAACACCUGAUUUUUGACAAAAAAGCCAAAAUUUUACCAUGGAAAGAAGAAAGCAUCUUCAACAAACAGUAGUGGCAUAACUGGAUAUCUUCAUGUAGAAGAAUGAAAAUAGAUCCAAAUCUGUCCCCAUGGACAAAACUCAAGUCCAAGUGUAUCAAAGACCUGAGUAUAAAUCUAGGUACAAUGAACCUGAAAGAAGGGAAAGUGGGAAAUAUACAUGAAGGCAGUGGCACAGGAGAAUAAUUUCUAAGUAUGACACCAGGAGCACAGACUCUGAGAGCAACAAUUAAUAAAUGGAUCCCCCUGAAACUGAGAAGUUUCUGUAAGACAGAGGAUAUGGUCAAUAAGAUAAAAUGGCAGCCUAUAUGAUGGGAAAAGAACUCAAAGUAAACACCAAAACACCAAAUAAUCCAAUUAAAAAAUGAGAAUCCUUUAUAGAAGAAACUCAAAUGACCAAAAGACAUUAAGCCUUCAGGGAAAUGCAAAUCAAAAUGAACCUGAGAUACCACCUUCUACCUUUCAGAAUGGCCAAGAUCACAAACACUGAUGACAGUUUAUGCUGGACAGGAUGUGGAGUAAGGGGAACACUCUUGGUUGCUGAUGGGAGUGCAAAAUUGUAGAGUCACUUUAGCAAUCUAUAUGGUGGUUUCUCAGAAAAUUGGGAGUUAAUCUACCUCAAGGCUUAGCAAUAGCACUCUUGGGCAUAUACUCAGAGGAUGCAUACCACAAGGACAUUUGCUCCACUGUGUUCAUCACAGCAUUUAAAAUAGCGAGAACCUGGAUACAACCUAGAUGCCCCUCAGCUAAAGAAGCGAUUAACAAAUUAGGCUAUAUUUAAACAGUGCUUUUUCUUUCUUGAUGACAAUCAUUUUAAUGGGUAAAAUGGAGUAUCAGUUAUAUUUUCUUUUUCAUGUUUUAAAAAAUUCUUUGUGGCUGGACAUUGUUGGCAGGCGCCUUUAAUCCCAGCACUUGGGAGGCAGAGGCAGGUGGAUCUCUUGUGAGUUCAAGGCCAGCCUGGUCUCCAGAGUGAGUGCCAGGAUAGGCUCCAAAGCUACACAGAGAAACCCUGUCUCACCCCCCCGAAAUUAUUCUUUGAAAAUUCCACACAUAUAUAGUAAAAUAUGAACAUAUAUACUCCCACCCAUUUCUCCCCAAUGAACAGAUUCACAAAUGUUCCAUGACCUGCUAUUUUAAUGAAAUAAUUAAUUGUAUAACCCAUUAUGUACCAUUAGCACUACUCAUGUGAGUACAUGUGAGCAUGAGGUUAUCCACUCACAGGCAGCCACAAAACAGAGAAAAAUGGACUCUCAACUAUGUCAAGUGCUCUGAAUACUCUGACUUAUUAUACUCCAAAAAUAAAUGUAUCAUAUGUGCAGUAAAAUUUAUUCCAGGAAAUAUUUUCCAAACUUUAUCAUUCCCAAAAGGAAAAACAAAACAACACAAAAAGUAAUAACCUCUUCCAUUUGCCUACUGUCAUAUUUUUGAAUUAGCAUGCAUGAUUUACACAAUUAUCACUUAUCCUUAUCCUUGUACUCACCACAGCAAUUUUACUAAUGCCAUUUCCACACUUUUAGAAUUUUCCUUGAUAUGGAAUAUGGGUUGCUAUAUUUAUCUGAAAUAACAUAAUGGUGGUCACUUGAGAAAUAGAAAUAUGACAUUCAUUGAAGUCAUGGAUUAAUUGAGAAAUAGAAAUAUGACAUUCAUUGAAGUCACAGAUUAAUGUUAGUUUAGAUUUGAUGUGUUUAAUACCAUUCUGAUUCAGCACGUUGAUAAUACACAUGCUAAAAUUAUAUAUAUUCAAUUAUUUUAUACAACUUUUUAAUGUAAAUGAGCAUUUUUCUGCAUGUGUGUGUGUACACUGAAUGCGUGUCUCUUGGUUUCAGAGUCUAGAGGAGGACAUCAGAUUCCCUGAAAACAGAGUCACAGACAGGUGUGAAGAAACAUGAAUGCUGGAAACUAAACUCAUGUCCUCUACAAUGACUGUUCUUAACCCACAAGCCAUCCUUCUGUUCCCUAAGGCCAUAUUCUUUCAGAAUUGGAAUAAGCAAGACUGAAGACCAUAUCCUGAACCUUCUUAGUUACAAAUGAUUACUCUCCAGAGGAAAGAACUGCUCACCUUUGUUGACUGGCACAGAAAUAUACACUACCAUUUAUCUGUCUCACCAAAGAGAAGAGAUGUCAACAAUGGUCAAAUCUUCAAACAAUAUAGCUCCAUAGCUCCAGAAGAUUGGAAGGCAGCCAAGGAUGGAUAAGACUAUCGUUAUUGUCCUUGGUUGCUCCCAAGAGAUGGAAGAUGAAUCCCUAUUCAUGAAGACACCAUGGAUUUCAGACACAGAACCCAGAGGUCCAUGAUAUAUGACUGACUUGAAAGUCUUCUCACUUAGUUUUCAUAAAUCAGAAGGUGACACGCAAAGUUCCCAAGACAGGAAACAAUCGACCACAACAUUGAAGAACGUGACAUAACAACCUUAAAAUGCAGUAGGGUCUAAGGUAGAAAGAAAUGGAUAAUACUAAAAGCCACUGGAAGAUCAGAGUGUUUGCCUGUGAGAAUAUAUUUCCUAGUCAUGACAGAGACAGAGAGUGCAGCCACAAAUUCUCACCAACAUGAAUACCCAAACAUGAGCUGAACAAAAAAGAUACCAAUGGACAAGCCAUACUGGAUGGGGUCAAGGUUACUAAGCCACAAUCCUACACAGAGGUAUAUUAGUAACGGCUUAAUUAAAGGAGAAGAAAUGACUUAAAGACAAUGCAUCACCAAACUUCACCAAGCACAGGGGACAGGUCACAAAGCUGGGAAUCUGGAGAACAUUUCACAGCCACAAGCUGAUCAGCAACUUGGAAUGUGUCCUUUUCAAAUGCCUCACCUGGUCUAAUCUCCUUCAAGUGUUGCAGGGUGGAAACCCGAAGUCCAAACAACCAAUGUUCAAAUACGUAAUAUGCAUUAAGCUACUAGAGACUGCCUGGAAAGAAACACAUCUCACAGAGCAGUCCUGAAUGGAUUCUACACACAGCUUUUGAAGACAAUAAUCACAGAAAUACUGCCUCCUUUUUGCCAGUUACAGAAGGAAGUAAAGAAAGCAAACAGUUUAACAGAACCCGAAAACAUACUCUUAGCUGGUUUUGUACUUUCCAAUGAGAAUUUUCAUGUAAGUUUCAGGUUAAAGUAAAGAUGGCUCCAUGAGAAAAAAGAUAGAAGAGACUGAGUUCCCUACACAAAAUAUUUAAAGAUAUAAUCAAGCUGGGCAUUGUAGUGCAUGUCUUUAAUCCUAUUCCUAGGGAGGCAAAGGUAGGUAGAUCUCUGAGUUUGAGGACAGCCUGGCCUACAAAGAGAGUUCCAUGAUAGCCAGGGAUGUUACAAAGAAAAAAAUUAUAAUUGGUUUUGCAAAACACACACACACACACACACAAACACUUCUACCUUAUAUUUUAAUCCCAGAUAGAAGGACUUUACUACAAAAAUAACCUUUUUAAUUUCUUAGUCCAAAAAAGAAGACUAGAUCAUUCAUUUCAAUGUAAUUUUAUUUUGGAUUUAUAUAUUUAAGCUUCUUUUUAUUUAAAUUAUAGCCUUCUGUAGCAUUGUAUUUUACAUACAAUAAAAGUUCUAGCUGCAAUGCCAAAACCAAAUCUCCAAAUUUUAGGGUUUUAACUUAAAAUAGGUUUAUCUUUGAUUGAAGAGAAUUCUGAAACAAGAUGGGAAACACUUCAGGAGAUCUCCUUAAACAUGACAAUUCAAGACUCUUGUUUGCUUCUAUUUUGCACUCUAGUCUUGAAGGAAUACACCCAGGGUUCAGAAGAGCAGAGAGAAAACUUGGAACACUAUAUGGAGAGAGUCCUUUUAUUGUUACAAUUCAGAAACGACACCAGUUUCUUCUAUUCAAGAACUUCGUUUCAAAACCAAUCACAAUCAUUCCCAAAAACAGAUCUUUUUCACCUUAAUACUGUGGCAGAAAACACCUAUUUUCAUUCACUGUAGCUAAUUUAAAAGUCCAGAAUCUCAGGUUGCACUCAGUGACCACUGUACUGUGGUAUGAAUGAGAAUUGCUCUCCAUAGUUUGUCCCUUUGAAUGACUGGUUCCCAUUUGGUGGUGGUGUUUGGGAAUGAGGGAGAUUAGAAGGUGUGGCUUUGCAGGAAGAGGCAAAUCACUGUGGAUGGGAAUUCAGAGUUUAACUGAAUGCACCAUUUUGAAUACUCUGUUUUUGUUUCCUCUGGGGGGGGUAAAAAUUUUAACUUCCAGCUGUGCCAGCCUCUAUUACUAGAGAUUGCUGCAAUAUUUUCCUGCUGUCACGGAUGCACCUAUUCCUGUGGAACUCUAACCCCAUCUCCCCUAAACUUUUUCUUCUGUAUGUUUCCUUGUUCAUUGUGUUUUAUAGCAAUGAUAGAAAUGUAACUAACACAACUAGUUUCUACUGUCAGGGAGGUUCCCCUUUUCCCAUUUUCAAUGUGAUCCUGGGACCCAAUCUCAGGAAAACACACCACCAUUUUCUACUAUUUCCUGUGACAACCGCAAUGGAUUUUCGUAAACUACAUUGUUCUAGAUUUGCUCUUUAUUGUUCCUUAUUUCUUGAUCUUAUGGGAAAAACCUGAUUGAACACUUGGAAUAGUAAAACAAUAGGAUAGUGUUGCCUCUAA